rnacentral:tRNA from 1 species
CCUGGUCUAGUGGCUCUCACCUGGCUCUCACCCAGGAGGCCCGGGUUCGAUUCCCGGUAUCGGAA